GACGAACGCUGGCGGCGUGCCUAAUACAUGCAAGUAGGACGCAGUUGCGAACGGGUGAGUAACGCGUAGGUAACUACCUAUUAGAGGGGGAUAACUAUUGGAAACGAUAGCUAAUACCGCAUACUAGUAGAUGGACCUGGGUUGUAUUAGCUAGUAGGUAGGGUAAUGGCCUACCUAGGCAACGAUACAUAGCCUACCCUUGACGGUGUUCGGCCCCCCUGGUACUGAGCCCCGGCCCAGACUCCUACGGUAGGCCGCCGUAGGGUAUCUUCGGCCAUGUGGCGAAACCUGACCCAGCCACGCCGCGUUAGUGACGAAGGUUUUCGGAUCGUAAAGCUCUGUUGUUAAGGAAGCGGUACUUAACCAGAAAGCGACGGCUAACUACGUGCCAGCAGCCGCGGUAAUUC
rnacentral:rRNA from 1 species